rnacentral:tRNA from 1 species
GCAUUGGUGGUUCGGUGGUAGAAUUCUUGCUUUCCAUGUGGGAGACUCGGGUUCUAUUCCCACCGAUGCA